rnacentral:rRNA from 1 species
AUUGAACGCUGGCGGCAGGCCUAACACAUGCAAGUCGAGCGGAUGAAGGGAGCUUGCUCCUGGAUUCAGCGGCGGACGGGUGAGUAAUGCCUAGGAAUCUGCCUGGUAGUGGGGGAUAACGUCCGGAAACGGGCGCUAAUACCACAUACGUCCUGAGGGAGAAAGUGGGGGAUCUUCGGACCUCACGCUAUCAGAUGAGCCUAGGUCGGAUUAGCUAGUUGGUGGGGUAAAGGCCUACCAGGGCGACGAUCCGUAACUGGUCUGAGAGGAUGAUCAGUCACACUGGAACUGAGACACGGUCCAGACUCCUACGGGAGGCAGCAGUGGGGAAUAUUGGACAAUGGGCGAAAGCCUGAUCCAGCCAUGCCGCGUGUGUGAAGAAGGUCUUCGGAUUGUAAAGCACUUUAAGUUGGGAGGAAGGGCAGUAAGUUAAUACCUUGCUGUUUUGACGUUACCAACAGAAUAAGCACCGGCUAACUUCGUG